GCCUUGUUUGAAAGACAGGCCGGAGCUCAUUUUAACGUAAAUAUCGCUGGUCCCGUGUUAUGCUGUGUAACAGUCAGGAGUGUUGACCAUAUACAUUAAAGUACAACCGUUCACAGUUUAUCUUCCCCACCUCCCCGGAGGAGCGUGGUUGGGACUCGAUAUUAUACAUUUUUGAUGGGCAGCAAAUCUUGAGAAGCACGUUCUGUCUAUACGGACACGUUACAUACACAUGAAUCCGGCUGGCUAAACACGCGUCACAUAGAACACGCCAGCAUAACGUGUGCUCACGUUCUUUCGGACAUGCGCUUAUAUGGAAGUUUUUGCCACCACUGACGUCAAUAUUCUUGUUUAGUAUAACCGUUGUGAGAUGCUUUAUAAGAAUCCAACCACUGAUCUAGCGUUCACAACGCAAGUCUCACCGCUACAAGAUGCAGUUUGCCGGCUUAUGUCUUGGCUUUUUUUUUUACACGUUGCUUUCAUGCAACGCCAUACAAGGCUCAUAUCGGGGCAAGACCGCCGUAACGAAGGACGAACACAAAUACCCGGAAGGCACGGAUCCUACACCAAACAGUGUCGAUGCAAUGCAAGACCUUGAAAACGAACACCGUUCGACGCAUAUGGCAGGCCCUGGUCAGCCGCGGCAACACUGGAAACGCGGCAUAUGUCGUAUCACAUUUUGUGCAAGCGUUUGUAAUGUUAUUCCUGCAACAUUUCGUCGAGGAUGUAUUGUUACUUGCUUGAAAAUCAGCGUCGGUAUACCACUCUGUUGGUGAGAAAACAGCGAUGGAACCUUUUUGGCAGGAGAAAGUUGUGAUUAAUUAAAAUUAAACACGCCAAUCCAUCUGUGAUAGCAGGACCUCAGUAGCAGGUCAGUGUAGUGUAGAAGCACGAAUUUAUUCACGAUUAUCAGCUUAAAACAUGGGUCUGCUUUAAAAUCGUGCGGCAGCCCAGCGCUCCUGUACUAUGUUCCAAUGAAAACGCCAAGACUGAAUGAAAAUAAAGAGUGAAUGUAUGGCAGA